rnacentral:lncRNA from 1 species
GCUGGGAUUACUAAAGGCGUGAGCCACCAUGCCUAGCCUCGUAGUUAUUUUUUGAAGAUUUCUUAGGCUUGUCUAGCUAGUCAAAGCUUGUCACUGGCGAAUAAAGAUAGUUCUAUUCCUUCUUUUCAAAUCUGAAUAACUUCCUUUUUUUUUCUUUUGCACCAAUAGGAUGAGGAAUAAAAGUGAUGAGAGCAAUGUCAGUUUCCUGGGUUUGGUAAAUGUACUGUGCUUAGGUAAUCAGUACACUGGAGGGAGCCACAUGAAUGCUGCACAGAAACACGACUGCUGGCCCCGCUUAUCUGCAGUUUCACUUACUGCAGUUUCAGUUACCCACGGUCAACUGAGGUCUGAAAAUAUUAAAUGGAAGAUUCCAGAAAUAAUUCAUAAGUUUUAAAUUGCAUACUGUUCCUAGUGGGAUGAAAUAUUGUGUCAUCCUGCUCUUUCCCUUCUUCAUCACAAGGGCGAGUACAGUACACUAAGAUAUUUAGAGAGAGACCACAUGCACAUAACUCUUAUUUUAGACUAUUGUUCUAAUUGUUCUAUUUACUAUGUUACUGUUAAUCUCUUACUGUGCCUAAUUUAUGAAUUAAGCUUUAUCGCAGGUAUGAAUGUAGAACAGUAAAUUCCACAUUAUCUAUGGUUUCAGGCAUCCACUGCGGGUCUUGGAAUGUAUCCCCCACAGAAGGGGGAUAUGAACCAAAAAGUAUCUGAGACUGUUCUCAACCAGUUAAUUUUGCCAAGGUCAAGGAUAAGGCCAGGGAGGCAAAACAAAACGUGACAAAACACGGAAUCGCUGAAACAGUCUGUGGUCUGUGCCUUUCUCCAAAGGUGACUUUGAGGGCUUCCAUAUUUAAAGGGGAAAAGCAGGCUGGAGGGGGAAGUGGGAGGGUCCGGUCCUAGUGCUGCCGCCACGGGUUGCAAGAGAAGAGAAGCAGGCAGGGGAACAGUCAAUCGUGUAUUCAUCUGGUGCUCAGUAAAUUGGCACUUCACAUAAGAUAAGUUGAGGUCUUUCUUGGCCAGUGCCUGCCUCCCUGGCGCCUGUGGUUUCAGUGAUGGGGAUUCUUCCAUGCGUCACUUGGAGCGACCUCGUCUGUUCCUGUGGACUCACUGACACACUAAAGACACCAGCUCAGCCCUGACCUCUCACCUGAGCGCCUCCUUACCAAGUCAUCCAGAUGGCUCCCCAGGGAUGAGCAGCAACAAAACGGGCACGUGGGUGCCCAGCACACGUCAGGUGAUGUUCUAAGCCCCUUGCGCGUACCCAGUCACUUACCGUUCACUGCAGCCCCGGGAUGAGCUCUGCGAUGAGCAUCCUUUUGCAGACGAGGACACUGAAGCACAGGAAAGUUAGGUCAUUUGCCUAAGGACAUGCAGCUGGAUGGGGACAGAGCCAGGAUCGGGCUUGCAGUGGCUUCAGACCCCACCUUUCUGACCACAGCGCUCGUGCUCUUGGAGCGCCUUGAGAUAGUGGGACAAGGCGGACUGGAGGACGCAGUUUCCAGAUGGGAUGCCCUGGCGGGCGACUCCCGUGCGCAUGCCCAGCAUCCUGCGCAGGCGCUCUCGUGGCCAGGCCUCUGCAAACAGUCAGCACAGACCGGGAGACAGAAAACUACACUCCCUCAGACGCUUUAUUGUUUACAAAACAGAUGGAUCCCAUAGGGAAGGAACACAAUCAUUAUGCUGACAGCAGCGAACAGAGAGGGGAAGAAAAAAGGUGAGCUUUAAAGUAAUCGCAAAUCACUGCCUAUGCGAAGAGGCUGCUUCCGGGCACCUGGGCUGUGACUCAGGUGCUGACAUGAAUACAUCAGCAAGGUCUCAAUUCAGCCACAGUCCCAAGUCCCCCAACCUUCCUGAUUGCAUCUCUAUUUUAAAUGACCCAGCCUGGACAUCAAGGACAAUGAUCUAGGAGGCGGGUCAAGGAGACAGCCAGGCAAAGUCAGAACAGACUUGGGGCUUCCAGGCUAUGCCCGGUGACAGCUGAGCUCUUCAGAAAUGCGUCACAUUCAGCGUUCACUUCCUUCGCUUCCUCCACUACCUAUGACAUAGCGGGGGAAAGAGACAACCAUGAGAGAGGGGUCCCUCCUCGCUGCCCUCCUCGCAGCUGUGCUUGAGUUUCAAAGGGGGAGAGGUUUGUGAGGGACCGGCACAGGGACAGCCAGAGCCGGCACCCUCCGGCCCACCGUGGCACCCCUGACGAUCGCGGGGUGGGGUAGGAGUGAGGGUGGGGGUCGGGGUGAGGUAGUGCUGUGGGGAGGGCACUGUGAAUGAUGGAAACGUCCCUUCUCAGCCUGGGUCGUGCCUAACCUGGGUCUCAAAUCCCACUCUGCCUUCACCCUGGAGUACACUCCAGCGAAGCCGAGGCCCAGCCAACGCUCGUGAAGUUUCCACAGAGAAGAGCCUGCAAAACUCCCACUGGAAGAGGAGAAAUAAAGGCCAUGGAAAGAAACCCCAGGGAAGAGACAGGCCUCGUUCACAGACCCUAGGCAGGGAAUAAAAAAUUCAAGUCAUUCACAGAAGUCUUGAAAGGCAUGAGGAUUUCUGACAGUUCCUAGAAAAAGGCAACAUUUUCUUUAUCUUUGUAUCCAUUGGCCAAGAACGCCGACAUGUGAGACUUGCUUCACCAGCCGCCACCGCUUCCUUACAAUCUCCCGCACUGCUGGAGCGGGCUGGGUAACUACAGGACUGUGCUCUGUGUGAUAAGAUUUGGUGAUUCCACUUUAUAAGAAAGGAAACUGCUUUAAUUAAAGCAGGUUAAUAAUUAAAACUUCAAAGUACUGCACAGCCACAGAAUUUUCUUGAAGGGAGAAAGCGGUCACUGGCCAUAUGAUGCGGAGAUGGUUUUAUCUGAGGCCUGAGAACCAACAGAUGUGCCUGCGCCCUGGCCUGUGCAGCUGUGGGCAGAUGUGUCCCCAGGGGCCUGCCCUCACUCGUGACCAUGCAAUACCCUGCAACAUAAACAUUUUCUUUUCCAAGGAUCUGCAGGGGUGGACAUGAUGCUCCAGGCACAGAGUAGGAAGAAAAGGGGGUGACCUGGGGUUCCCAGCAAACAGGUCCACCUCAUGCUCACUGCGUUCUCAGGGUGAGGCAUAGGGCCUGACAUAUGGUAGGAGCUCUAGGGAUAUUCACUGAACAAAA